UACAGAGGGCGCAAGCGUUGUUCGGAUUCAUUGGGCGUAAAGGGUGUGUAGGUGGCGCGCUAAGUCGGGCGUGAAAUUUCGGAGCUUAACUCCGAAACUGCAUUCGAUACUGGCGUGCUUGAGGACUGGAGAGGAGACUGGAAUUCAUGGUGUAGCAGUGAAAUGCGUAGAGAUCAUGAGGAAGACCAGUGGCGAAGGCGGGUCUCUGGACAGUUACUGACGCUGAGACACGAAGGCCAGGGGAGCAAACGGG
rnacentral:rRNA from 1 species